AUACAGAGGGUGCAAGCGUUAAUCGGAUUUACUGGGCGUAAAGCGCGCGUAGGUGGCUAAUUAAGUCAAAUGUGAAAUCCCCGAGCUUAACUUGGGAAUUGCAUUCGAUACUGGUUAGCUAGAGUAUGGGAGCGGAUGGUAGAAUUCCAGGUGUAGCGGUGAAAUGCGUAGAGAUCUGGAGGAAUACCGAUGGCGAAGGCAGCCAUCUGGCCUAAUACUGACACUGAGGUGCGAAAGCAUGGGGAGCAAACAGGAUUAGAUACCCUGGUAGUCCAUGCCGUAAACGAUGUCUACUAGCCGUUGGGGCCCUUGAGGCUUUAGUGGCGCAGCUAACGCGAUAAGUAGACCGCCUGGGGAGUACGGUCGCAAGACUAAAACUCAAAUGAAUUGACGGGG
rnacentral:rRNA from 1 species